UACGAAGGACCCGAGCGUUAUCCGGAUUCAUUGGGUUUAAAGGGUGCGUAGGCGGAUUGAUAAGUCAGUGGUGAAAUCCUGCAGCUUAACUGCAGAACUGCCAUUGAUACUGUCGAUCUUGAGUACAUUUGAAGUGGGCGGAAUGUGUCAUGUAGCGGUGAAAUGCUUAGAUAUGACACAGAACACCGAUUGCGAAGGCAGCUCACUAAACUGUAACUGACGCUGAGGCACGAAAGCGUGGGGAGCAAACAGG
rnacentral:rRNA from 1 species